UGUGGGUUGGCUCAGUGGUUAGAGCGUAGGUCUCAUAACUGAAAGGUUGCGGGAUCGAAACCCGCUAGAG
rnacentral:tRNA from 1 species